rnacentral:rRNA from 1 species
UACGUAGGGGGCUAGCGUUGUCCGGAAUCAUUGGGCGUAAAGCGCGCUUAGGCGGCCAGAUAAGUCCGGUGUGAAAGUCAAAGGCUCAACCUUUGAAUGCCGCUGGAAACUGUCUGGCUUGAGUCCGGGAGGGGCGAGUGGAAUUCCUGGUGUAGCGGUGAAAUGCGCAGAUAUCAGGAGGAACACCAAUGGCGAAGGCAGCUCGCUGGAACGGUACUGACGCUGAGGCGCGAAAGCGUGGGGAGCGAACAGG